ensembl:snoRNA Gm25973 predicted gene, 25973
GGCUUCCUCAUCCUUAACGACAGGUUGCUUUCCUAUUCUGUCUGUAUAGAAAGAGAAGGCAGAGUAAACCCAUCCCAUGUACACCUCAGUCCAGGCUACUGUACCUAGUCUGUAUUGUGAAUGGGGAGACCCUG